GAAAGAAAAGAAAAAGAAAUGGAGUUAGUGGCUCAUAUCUCUUUAACAAAGUAAGAAUUGUGUUUCUAGGCAGCAGCGCUGAGGAUGUAACUCAGUGGGAGAAUGCUUAUGUGGCCCUGGGUUCAAUCCCCGGCACCACAAAAUAAUAAUUGUCAUUAUUAGUAUUAAUAUAACAACAUAAUUAUAACAAUAAAAAUAAAAUAGGCAGCAGGCCCACGAAAGAGCCACUAGACCACAUAACCUCCCUUUCCCAGGCAACUCUUCCGCAUCUUCUCAUUGACAUCUUUGGAAGCAGGUUUCCAGGAAUGGCUGGGCCAGAUGGAGAAAUCAGCUGGGAACUCUAUGCCUCAGUGACAGGAGAAGAGGGGAGGGGAAAUCCUCCCAACUGAAAUGUGAACUCAUUGCCUUUUGUGGUUACUUAGGACUGUCAUCAGGAAAGUUUCAACUGGCUGGUAGGAAGUGGGAUGUUUUUCGGUUUUCACGCUUGUGCAAUAUGACUUCAGAAGAAAUCCAUAGAGAAAAGCCUCCCUGUAUAUGUUUGUUUAGCACAGAAACAAAAGACCAUCUGGAGGUGUCUGGAUGUGUAAUGAGAAAGAAGAUAGGGUAACGUCACAGGGCACGGGUUAACAGGGUCUUGGGAUUGCUCUGUGUUGUUUCUCCUCCAGGGUCAGUGGCCAACAGUUAGAGCCUUGACUGAAACUGGAAGCUGACAAUGAAGUCAGAGAGGGGUGAGGGAGGAUGCACUGUAGACGCAACUUGGGGGAACAAAGGUGAAGUACAUAUGGAAAACUGCACUGGGUUGCCACUGCCAACCUAGGAAAUGAAGAGCUGUCUGGUGUGCGGCUGAUGGAACCUGACUUUUCGUUUGCUUCCACAUAAUCCGUACACACAUGUGCAGACAGAAACUUGAAUUGGGCAGAAGUGAGAAGUGACAAAAAUCCUGCUGACUUCAAUUUAUUCAAAAUGGGAAAAAACAGAGGCAGUCCUGGUCAUGUAGGGAAUUCUCUGGGUUACAAUAAUUUGUCUCAGCCAUCCACGUGGCCUGGGAUGCACACCAGUCUGGACACCUCCGGGCUUUGGGAUCGCAGGACAGGCACCAACAACGUGAAACAAUGAGCAAAAAGACAAAAGAAAAGAAAAAGGGGGGGGGGUGCAGAUUUUUGUAAAUUCUGUUCCUUAGAGACCUUGACCAUUCAAAGUUUGAUCCUUGAACCAGCAGCUUUGAUGCUUCCUGGCAAUAUGUUUGAAAUGCAGCAUUUCAGACCUCACCCCUGCCUACUAAAUUAGAAUCUUUGUUUUUUAAUUGACACAUAAUAUUUGUAAAUACUUAUGGGGGAUAGUACAAUAACUCGUUAUAUGUAUACAAUGUGUACAAUCAAAUCAGUGAAUUACCAUCUCUGUCUCUUCGAACAUUUAUCAUUUCUAUGUGUUGGGAACCUUUGGACUCUUCUAGUUAUUUUGAAAUAAAUAAUAAAUUCUGCUAGACCACAGUCAUCCCACUGCUCUAUAGAAUGCUAGAAUUAAUUCCUCCUCUCUAACAAUAUAUAUAUAUUUUUAACCUAUUAUCUUACCUCUUUCUAUGUUCCUUCCCUUUCCCCUUCUGACCUCUAGUAACCCCUGUUCUAUUUUUUUUUUUUUUUUUGCUCCUAUGAAAACAACUUUUAGCUUACACAAAUAAGUAAGGACACAGAGCAUUUGUCUAUCUGUGCCUGGAUUAUUAAACUUAACAUAAUGCUCUCAGUUUGUAGCUUCUUUACAUUAAGCCUUUACCACAAUUACUUAACCAGCAAACAUUAAGCUGCAAAUACUUUUAGUUUUCAGCUUUAAAUCUCAGAGGUACAAAUGGGUUGGCUAUGUGGCUAUAUAAAGAAUGGCAAAGGAAAAAAAAAACAGCUUAAACAUCUCUUUAUUUUUAGCUACUUAUUAAUCAGUUUUCUGUUGCUGUGAAAAAACACCCCAGAUAAUCAACUUAAAAGGAGGAAAGGAUUAUUUUGGCCUAUGAUUUUAGAAGUUUCAGAUCAUGAUCUCCUGGCCUUGUUGCUUUUGGCCUGAGGUGGUAUGGUACAUUAUGGUGGUAACAUGUGGCCGAAGAGAGUAUUUUUCUCAUGGUGGCCCCAAAACAGACAGAGGGAAGAAGAGAGACCAGAAGCUUAAUAUCCUCUUCAAGGGCCUAACUUAACAAAUUGAUCUUAUUUUCUUUAACUAAAUCUUACUUUCUGAAGGUUCUACCACCUCCCAAUAAUGUCAUGGUCUGGGGACCAAACUUUCCAUACAUUUGGAGAAUAUUUAAGAUCCAAACUAUAGCACGGUACAAGGUGUAGUCUUCAGCACCAUUAACAACAUUUGGGUCCUUAGCAGCAUGAACAUCAUUUCAGAGCUUGCUAAACUUCAGGAUUUCAGGUCAUGUCAGAACCUGCUAUAUCAGAAUGAACAUUUUAACAAGGUCCUACUUCUAGGUGAUGUACAUUCACAUUAAAAUUUAAGAAACAGUGAUGAGAUCAUAUAACCUAUUUCAUUUUACUAAUGUCACUUGUCUUCAUUUGAAUACAUUUUCUGCUACAAAGUUAGAUCAAGCAAGAGGAAAGAAAGGCAGUUAUAUGGCUUCAACUUAUUUUCUCUGCUCAUAUGGACCAGUUUUCAUAGUUGAUGAGAAGAAAAGAGUAAAGAAAAUGUUGAUUUUUCAACCAGAUAAUUACUGCCACUCCACUGAUUCUAAGUAGACAGGACUAUCAUGCUAACUUGGGAUGUAAUCCUAGUGCUUUCUUAAGGCCUGAGGCAUAAGCAAACGAUUUCCUCUUUUUCACCAAAAUAAUCACCUUUAUUUUUCUUUUCUGGAAAGCAGCAAAUCUCAUCUCUACUGUGUAUUUUCUGACCCAGGUUAAGUCUAUAGAAACUGCAAAUGGUAUAAAAAGAAACAUCUCUACAGUGAUCAAGAUUAAGUCUUACCCUUUUUAUUUCAUGAAAUGUUUCUCUCCCAGUAUCAAAACUUCCAGUUUGUUAAUAUUAUGCUAUUCUGAACUUGCAAUGAUCUCAUAUGUCAACCCUAUAUUUAUGACAGUCAAACAACCACAUUCCUACUUUUUUUGGUGAAGAACAUUUUUUUAGUGUACCAAAUAUUCAUGUAUAAUAACUCUGCUUCCAAGGUUCUGUAGUUAUUAGUAAGUCACUUGGACACUUCAGAUUUCAUUAAUAUCCAAUAUUGUAAAACAGGAUUCACAGAGUUUUUGGAUCAGCCAUUGAGAGUAGAGUAGGGAAAUUCUCUAUCUUAUCCAAGUUCAUUCUAAAUCUAAAACAGCAACCUCAGUCUGGGUAUAUUUGUGCUCAUUAGAAUUCAUGCAUGUCCAAGUAACUCUACAGAGUUAGUAUCAUUUGGAAUCUCUAUACCAGGGAAAGGAAGUGUGUUAAAAGUUUACUUUUGGGGACAGAAUGAACAGUUAUCUCCUUUAGGCCUCUAUUUAUAGGGAGACUAAGGAAACAUUGUAAAUGAGAUGCAAAGGAAACCAAAGCCCAAACCAAUGAAUGGAAGGAAGGGACUUUCUCUGAAUUUCCACACAGAUCACAGCAGGUGUUUUUGUGGGCAUGUGUGCCAAUAUUUGGCAUCUCUAGGAGCCCUAGAGAACAACACAAGGGGCUAACUUGAAAAAAUAUGUGAGAAUGUUGGCUACUUCACAGAAGACAUCUCCAAAUAUUUCCUUAACAACUGAGCAAAACUUUGAAAUGGGACCAAAGAGUCUGCACUGGGCAAGCCAGAGGCAACUGAAUUAGGAAUUAAUGGGAAAGUAUUUGCAAACAAAAAGUCAUGAGGUCUAUGGAGACUCUGGUUCAGAUCAAUUCAGUGCAACCUGUUUUCCCAGCAACUCUGAGCAGCUACAAGGUACUCCAGGAAAGAGGCAGGUAUACAUUCUCUUAAAAAGAUGGCAUGAUUGAAUGUAGCAUCUUCUCUGUAAAUCAAUAACAGUGACUGCAUAUUAGCAUUGUUUAUGUAAGAAAUGUGAAUUAAUUCUCAUCACUCAGGCCAACUUAUGCCUUUUGUGCUUGUUUCUCCUAGACACCCAUUUUAGGUGAAAUAAAUCGAGCUGAAGAGAACUGCAACUUGAUUACAUAAAGGAAGUUCUGCAUUUUAAUUUUUAUCUCAUUUUGAGUCACCAUUAAAAAGAGGACAAAGAUGGGAAAAUGUUUAUGAAUAAUUAACCCUGAAGAGCAAGCAAACAAUUCAACAGAUCUUCGGAUAGGCAGCUCCAACUGUAGAAACAGGUAAACAUUUUUUUGAGUAGUGUCAUAGAUUUGUAUUUUCCUUCAAUAUGAUACAUUGUUUCUUGUACCAUCAUCUCUGUCAUUUUGACAUGAUGAUAAUCCCAAACUGAAUUAAAAUAUUCCUGUUAGUGAAGAAUUAAUCAAGAUAAAUUUGGAUUUUUUUAAAAUGUUCUUCCUCAAGAGAUUUUUGUAUUUUUAUGAUCAAACCAUGAAAAGAUAGAAAAGUAGAGAUGUUUGUUUUAUUAUGUCACUUUAGUGACAUGUCCCUGAAUAAGCAAGAGGAAAAUGACCAGGAGUACAAUCUUAAGUGCAUGCUUUUGUUUACUGAUAGAAAAUCCCAGAUCUUCAACUCACCAGAUAUGGUGUGUAAGGCAAGAUCAAAAAGGAGUUCAUCUAAAUAUACAAAUUUCCAAUUAACUGCCCUUGUGAUGGGAUUUAAGGGUCUCUGAGUGAAGCAACCCGUUUGAAUUGCCCAGCUUGAUACCUCUGACAGCAUCUAUUGUAAGAUGUCAACCAUAGGAAUAGGGAAGAACAGAACUCAUAAGCCCAACCCUCUCUCCCUGGCUAGAGCACAGGAUGGCCAAGAGGCCACAGGAGACUAGCAGAGCUACCUGGAUGCAGGGGAAAUCAUCAUUUUUUUUUUGAGAAAAUCUCAAGAGGUAAUACAGGCUCCAUUCUAAGUUUUCUUUUGCAUUCUUUCCUGUUACCCAAUUACAAUGGCAUAUUAAAAAUAACCAGUACUGGCUUGCCACAGAUCUCUGUUCUCCUUUUAAGUCUGAACAAGUACAAAUGAGUCAAGAUCCCCUGCUGUGCCCCACCCCAGGACAGAUCACUGAGCCCUCUCUUCCUUCCUGUUGGCUCCUGGAUUCUCUCUGCUGCAGCAUUUAUCUCAGCAUAAUUCCUGAAUUUCUGGCUCAUUGUCAGUCAUCACUUUCUCAACAACCCUCUGUUUCACCAAGUGAAGAGAAAACAAGCAGGAAAAGUGAACCACAAAAAGAAAAGACCAUUUGGUCAGAGCAUUUGUACUGAGCAUACCUGGAAAAAAUUCUGACUCACUCCAGCCAUGUCAGCACCUUCUGUCACCAGGAAUCUCUUCAGCUAAAGAGGCUCAUUUCCUCUAUACAAUAUUUGCAUUCUUAAUACACAUCCCUUAAUGAAGAUGAGCUCUUGGCAUUCAUGCAAAAGCAAUCUGUACUCUGUAGAAGAUAUCGUCUUUAACCUCAGGUUGAACUAAAAAGUACUGGAAAUUGUAAGAGUUUAUUUUUUAUUUUAUUUUAUUUUUUUUAACCUUUGGGGGUCAUUCAGGAUGGGGAUCUGCCUGGCAGUUCUUAAUGGUGGUUUGAUUGGGCUCCAAUACUGUUUUAAAGUCUCAACUCAGUGUCUAGCCAAGUAAAACAUAUCCUCUUUUUCAUCUGUGCUCUCAAGUCUAGCCUUCAGCCCCAGGUCCUCAGUCAUUCCUUGGUUCUUCUCUGGAUUCUUUCCAAUUUGUUGACAAAUCCCCCGAUCUUCAUUUAAAACUACUUCUUAAUUUCUUCCCGAUAGCAUCUCACAGUGUUUCCUCAAGAUCAGCAUUUUCUGCUCUCUCUGCCCACACAUUAAGCUGAAUGUGGGAGCAAAGAGUAUAAAGUCCACAAGGCUGCUCAGGGGAGACAUCAGCACCAAGGCUAAUGGACGUUUCAAAAGAGCAGAGCCAGGCUAUUCCAGGCUGGCAGGAGACAUUUUCUUUUUUUUUUUUUUUCCUUUUUGAAAACAAUAUCCUUCCUUGACUAUAAAGUCUAUAUUGAUCACUGCUGAAAACCUACAAAAUACACAAAAAGAAGCAAAAGUUGUAAAAAUCAUGGGUAAUCUGUAAAACAAGACAAUUACUGUUAAUAUUUUUUAUGUUUUCUUCUACUCCUUUAUGUACAAAUAUUUUAACAAACCUAAUUGUAUACAAAGGCAGUUUCUCGUGUAUUUGUUUCCCAGAUUCCUUUUUCAUUUUUCCAGUGAUUAUUUUAUGCCUUAGAAUUACACUACCUUCAGUACUGUAAUUUUUUAUCAACACUAAUUUCUUUUCUUUUUCAACAUUUUCUUGGCUAUUAUUACUUUUUUUUUAAAACUAUUAUUUACCUUUUUCUUACCAGAUGGCUAUUUGGUACACUUUGUUCACUUUUUGAAUAGAAUUUCUUUAGAUAAAAAAGUUAAAACACAAAAAUAAAAGAAAGCCUUGACUUUUACAAUGUUGUCUCCUUCAGUUCCAGAACAUUCGCUCAUUAUGCAUUUUUCAAUUUAUCAAUUAAGACUUAUGGUGCUAUUGAUUAUGCAAUUCAUAUUUUUAAACAUUUCUAGUUUAUUUUUAAAGCCAAUGGCUUCAUAUAUGGUGGAUUUGCGUGUGUCUGGUUUUACAUUUUUCUUGUCUUCUUUAUCUCUAGAUACUAAGGCUCCUCAUUCUAUUUUUGUUGCUACGAAAUAUCCUUAGCAUACAAUUUACUGUUUUAACCACUUUUGAGUAAACCAUUCUGUAGUAUUAAGUACAUUUGUACUCUUAUGCAACUACUACCAACAUCCAAUUCCAGAAUCUUCCCAAUCUGAAACUUUGUAUAUGUUAAACAGGAAGUCCUACUUUUCCCUCUACUCCAACCCCUGGAAACCAACAUUCUUUCUGUCUCUACAAAUUUUAUAUAUAUAUUAGCCACUCCAAAUUGGUAUCUCAUAGGGGUUUAAUUUUUCUAAUGAUUAGUGAUACUGAGAAUCUUUUUAUGUGCUUUUUGGCCAUUUGUAUAUCUUCUUUGAAUAAAUGUCUAUGUAUG